AAGAGAUACAGCAUAAGAGGACAUCAGAGAAAAUAAGAAGUUCUCUACAUGAUAUUGCAGGUGGAAGAUGGAGAGAGCCUCAUGGUAAUGAAUGAAAACUUCUGAAGUUUCAACUGUGUUCAAUGAAAGUGAAAAUAAACUGCAAAGAUGAUGGAAACCCAGGAAAGGAAAUACUUAUGCAGUUUUCUUCUAUCCAGUUAAAAAUUCCCUCUCUGCAAUGGGUCUGAAAUGUACCAUUUAGGAGUGAAGGUAAAAUCUGAAUAAAAGUCAACACAUUGGAGCGGGUCUAAUGGAGAAGCUGAUACUGACUGCUCUAGUUUAGUGCUGCCUCCCCCCACCCCCAAAUUAAAGCAAUCUUUACUAUAUACCACUGCAGCUACUAGACAUACCUGGCCAUUGGAUAUUUCAAAUAUUUUAGCAUGACUGAGGAAUUGAAUUUUUAGUUUUAUUUGAUUUUCAUUAAUUUAAAUUUAAAUAGCCACAUACUAGCUGUUUUUGACUAGAUUGGACAGCCUGCCUCUCAAGUUUCAUGUGUUUCUUUCCAAGUGGUUGAAUUUUUAGUUUUCUCCAUGCAUUAUUUUACAUAUUGAGGACAUGUGGAAAUUGAGGGGUAUAUCAUUUCUAACUAUGGGAAUUACUAAUUAUUUUGGUAGCCUAAGGAAAUUCUUUUUUGAAUGCCUACAACUCACUGUAUACAAGGUUUUGUAAUAUUGAUCAACAACAGUUCGAUUGCAAAUUAGAUGUGAUUCAAAGUCUAUGGGUUAAUAUACUGUGUUAAAAAGGAUUGUGGACAAGAGUCUAUACAGACUGUACAUUCAAGAAUGUUUUUUAUGAAUAAUUUUGGCAGGUUAUCAAAAAUAAUCAAAUGAUGCGUAGCUAACCAAAAAGAUGAUAACUAAGAAAGAGGUCUUAUUACUAAAAUGUUGACCUAAAAAGUAAUGUGAUGUAAAGCUUCUUAGUUUUUUGAUAGUGAGUGGAAAACAAUUUAAGGUCUUAAACAUAUUCCUUAUUCAUUCAUAAAUACAUCUUGAGAAUUUUAAUGCAUUUUCCUAUCACCUGACUAAACAGAAAAGCAACACAUGAUUUCAAAUGCUCUGAAAUGACUGAAACUUGAAAUUGCACAAUAGCUGUAGUGUUUAGCUCUGAUUAGUUUCAGAAAGCAGCAAGCAAUUUAUUAUGACAGUAAUUUAAAGGAAGUCUCUCAACCAUUAGUAUCCUAGAGCUAACAUUUAACAUAUUCCUCCUUGCAACACUUUCAGAAUCAUGUAUUCUCUUUUCAAAUAAAAUGCAAACAUGAAUCUAAGCUAUCAAGGAAACAAAUGAACCAAAUCAUGCCAGUGACCCAUAAAUGAAGCUACUAUCCUAACAAAUAAACCUAUAUCAUUGAGGGAAAACAUGCACAUUCAAAUGGCAGCAGGAAAACCAAAUAGCUACAAACAAUAUGAGAAAACUAGAGUGGGAAGGAUAUUUCAGAAGCUUCAAAAGUAAUUUGAGAAUUUUUUCAAAGAUUAAUUGUAUAAAAUUGAGUAUAGGUACAAAGCAUUCACUAUGCAAAAGCAUAAUAGCUGGAAAUAUUUUAUACAAGGGUGGAUGGAGUAUAAGUCCUACAUUUUCCCGUAAAUCUUUUGAGGAUAAGAAAUUGGUAUCUAGUGGUCUCUUCAAACUCAUCAUAAAAAACAUUUGUAAUACAUUGCCAAAUAAACAUUAAUAGUUUACAAUUUAUUCUUACUUUCAGUUUCACUGUUUUUCUUUACCCAGAUUAAGAUUUUAAUGUCCCAGAGAAGUGAAAAGGUAAAUUCAUGUCAGAAUGUGUUUGUGUUUUGUGCAUGUACAUAUAUAUACAUGCAUAUAUUUGCAUGUGUAUUAUAUACCUAUAAUUUUAA